AAUCAAGAUGCAAUAAAUUUGCAAUUAGUUUCGACCUAAUUAUAAGAUAAUAACCAUUAUCCUUGAUUU
rnacentral:tRNA from 1 species